rfam:Capsicum annuum cultivar Zunla-1 chromosome 2, whole genome shotgun sequence
GUGGCUGUAGUUUAAUGGUGAAAAUUCUACGUUGUGGCCGUGGAGACCUGGGCUCGAGUCCCAGUACACACA